rnacentral:lncRNA from 1 species
CCUGCCCCGGCAGCGGGAAGCACCUUGGCAUUGCGGAUCCAUCUAGAUGCCAUAGCGUGCCACACGUGUGCAGCCACCCUGCGGGAACGGCCUCUGCUCCCCCCUACUGCCGUGCUAGAGACUAAAGUUAAAACCAGGCAAGGCAGAUCCUCGAGGGCUAGCGGGGGUUAUGCACGCAGGCGAGGACUUCCUGCUGGGGUAACUGUGGAAAUUGCCACCCGCAGUUGCCUGUGCCUGUGCCUGUGUUGUCCCUCUGCUACUGGGGAUACUGGAGCAGGAGCAACGGGGACAGCUGGGAUCUCUCAGCUUCUGAGUUGCCCAUUGCUCCCGCGUGGAUACCAGCAUCACCGGCACUGGCCCACUUUCAACAGUGGUUCUUGUUCCAGUACGCCAAUAUCCAACCAAACACAAAGCCUUUCCUCUUCUCAUCCCAACUACUGUGGGCUAUACCUGCGAAAUGCAGUGAUCAAAACCAAAGAAACUGGAGCAGAGUCGGAGAGCGCCCAAGGCCACAGGAGAGCCCGGCUCUGCCGCCCUCUCCCGCGCUGGUGGGCGAUCACCACCGUCAGCCAACACAGCGAUGCCACUCCCAGGCUUUCCGUUCGCUGGUAGGGCCUGUAUAAAGCAUCACUAGAGUGAGCUAUCUGAGCACGGUGUUUUCCUCCUUCUCCGGUCAUGUCCAAGGAGCCACUGCGUUGAGCAAUACCAGACAUCUGCAAAAGAAGGGAAGUGGCUGCCACAAGCAAGUAACACAAUACAGUGGCAAUUGUAAAGAGAAAAGUCUUCAUGGAUUACACAUCUAAAUCUAAUAUAGAGGACCUCUGCAGGCUGAUUUCUUUCUGCUGAAUGCACAGCAUGCUACACAUGCUACACUGAUUUUUCAGACAAAAAUAGGGCAGGAUUUCAGCAUGCUAAAGCCUCUCUUGCCUGUGCACAAAGCGAGCUGUACCAGAAAGAACAAGCAAGAU